rnacentral:rRNA from 1 species
CCCUUAGAUGUUCUGGGCCGCACGCGCGCUACACUGAUGAAUUCAACGAGCACUAACCUGUGCCGAAAGGUUCGGGUAAUCUUGUGAAAUUUCAUCGUGAUGGGGAUUGAUUAUUGCAAUUUUUAAUCAUAAACGAGGAAUGCCGAGUAAGCGUGAGUCAUCAGCUCACGUUGAUUACGUCCCUGCCCUUUGUACACACCGCCCGUCGCUCCUACCGAUUGAAUGUGCCAGUGAAAAGUUCGGAUUGGAGAUAGGAGACGGCAACGUAUCCUAUUUCCGAGAAAAUCUUUAAACUUUCCCAUUUAGAGGAAGGAGAAGUCGUAACA